GGUGGCCUUGUGGUUAGAGCGUCCGCCUGAGAAGCUGAAAAUCGCGAGGUUCGAAUCCCGACAGAGUCA